rnacentral:rRNA from 1 species
AUUGAACGCUGGCGGCAGUCCUAACACAUACAAUUCGAACGAGCGGCGGACGGGUGAGUAAUGUCUGGGGAACUGCCUGAUGGAGGGGGAUAACUACUGGAAACGGUAGCUAAUACCACAUACCAUCAGAUUACCCCAUAUAGGAUUCGCUUGUAGGUGGGGUAACGGCUCACCUAGGCGACGAUCCCUAGAUGGUCUGAGAGGAUGAUCAGCCACACUGGGACUGAGACACGGCACAGACUCCAACGGGAGGCAGCAGUGGGGAAUAUUGCACAAUGGGCGCAAGCCUGAUGCAGCCAUGCCGCGUGUAUGAAGAAGGCCUUCGGGUUGUAAAGUACUUUCAGUCGGGAGGCGUUACCGACAGAAGAAGCACCGGCUAACUCCGUGCCAGCAGCCGCGGUAAUUC